GACGAACGCUGGCGGCGUGCUUAACACAUGCAAGUCGAACGGAAAGGCCCUGCUUGCAGGGUACUCGAGUGGCGAACGGGUGAGUAACACGUGGGUGAUCUGCCCUGCACUUCGGGAUAAGCCUGGGAAACUGGGUCUAAUACCGGAUAGGAGCCAUUUUUAGUGUGAUGGUUGGAAAGUUUUUUCGGUGUAGGAUGAGCUCGCGGCCUAUCAGCUUGUUGGUGGGGUAAUGGCCUACCAAGGCGGCGACGGGUAGCCGGCCUGGGAGGGUGGACGGCCAAAUUGGGACUGAGAUACGGCCCAGACUCCUACGGGAGGGAGCAGUGGGGAAUAUUGCACAAUGGGCGCAAGCCUGAUGCAGCGAAGCCGCGUGGGGGAUGACGGCCUUCGGGUUGUAAACUCCUUUCGCUAGGGACGAAGCUUUUUGUGACGGUACCUAGAUAAGAAGCACCGGCUAACUACGUG
rnacentral:rRNA from 1 species